UCGUCCGGUGAAGCUGAUGUGGAGUGCGGCUGCUUUCGGUUCGUCGACCGUUUGUUUUGUUCAGGUGAUAACGGGAGCUCGCGAAAUUUUUAAGAAGUGGUUCUCGGGGGUUUCUUAAGAGAAUUUUAUGUUAUAUAUGUGGAGUUAUAGCAAAAAAGGGAAAAAACUGCGUCGGGAAAUGAGACAAUGAUUUGAAGGAAAAGAUCAUCGACUAUCAUAAAUGAUUGAUUUUCUUGAUGUGAAAAAAUGAAAUUGCGAUUCAUUGUAAGUGGAUGUGAUAAGCCUAAGUUCUAAUUAACGUCAUGGUGAGCUAUUUUGUUGCGAUGUGUGCCGAGAUCAAGAGAAAAUAUUCGAAGUUUUGUAGUUUAUUUUUCUUCGUAAAGAAAAACUGCUUGCUUUGGCGGAAUGUGAAACAGUCACGUCGUGAACAAAGAGUGCAUUAUUGGGAAGUGUACGAUGAAGAUUUGAAAGCAAAAUCGAUAAUAGAUUCACAGUUGUCUCCGGCCAGCAAGAACUUUCAUGGAUUGAAGAGCGACAGUGAUUUUGGGAUAACAUUGAAUAUUCCUGUACGUUGUUGGUUGUGUGAAACAAAAUUCAUGAAUCAGAUACUACUUCAAUUGAAUGAUGAGAAACAAAUGAAUGUCAUUUGGGUUUCACGACAAACAUUCCAGAGUAGCGGGAAGCAUAUCCCAGCACAAAUGUAAAUUGAUAGAAUCACCCAACAUUGUUACACUUUACCUUUCCCGAACUUGUCUUCAUGCGCCACAUUAAUACAAAAGAGAAAAACAUCAGCAUACGUAAACAACAUUUUCAACAUUGCAACAAAAGGAGUAACAAAUGAAAUGAAAGUUUUAAAACAAACACCAACUAUAAAGGUUUAUUCGCUCGAGCAACAGAGGAAGACAGUGUAAAUCCAAGGAAUAAAAGCAAAAACCUGCGGAUUCCAAACGACAUUUCCUUUGAAAAUCAUCCCGUGCCUCCCAUGGUUCUUCGAGUGCCCGGAAGAACGUAACUCCGAAAAACCUGUUUCAAGUCGAUGAGAAGUUGAGGAGCAUGGUGACAUGCUGCUACCAGACCAAACGUACGAUAAACCCAACAACUAUCAGAACUAUUCACGAUUAUAUGAUGAAUUCAACCGAAUCACCGAUCCAAAAGAAAUCAAUGUCAAAUGGCUGCACUGUGACAUUUUCGGAUAUCGACAUUGCCAUUUGGAGUACCAGAGAACAAUUGAAAGGGAAGCAUGAAAAUGGUGAAAUUGUAACAGGUUGUAGAUGUCGGAGAAGCGACAAGUGACGGGGUAUACGACAGAUACACAAGGACCAACGCUAGCAGCUUUGGUAGCCAUAGUUGUGAUAAACAAGCGGAUUGUUAGUGAGGGGGAUGAUGAUGCAGGAUCACUGGUGAAUUCUUCGGAUGGUCGUUGAGACGGGGAGAAACAGGAGGACGAUUACGAGACGUCCAACUUUUUCAACAACAUUCCGGAGUUUCGAGGUGAAUCACUUGACCCGUUCAGUUCGUGUGAAAAGGUUAAUUUGAACAUCCAAAUCAACAUCGAUAUCCUGCGUGCCUGCGAAUUGUUUUUGAUGCGCAAUCGUAUUCGACCAGAUUUUUCCGGCAAAUACAAAAAGUGAUCAAUGCCUCCGUAUCAGCACCUCUCUCGUUUUACUGUCGCGCUCGAGAGCUCCUGUUGACAGCAUCAACCGCAAACCAAAACAUGUUUCACCCUCAAUGCAUCCGUCCUCUUGGGUGAACCGUGGAGGAACAUCAACCAAAUCCAGUGCGGCGAUAAACGCACUCUACAGUGUGCCAAACCGGGCCGGAAGACGAAGACGAUGAAAACCUCAGCACCUUACGUUUGGACGUAUUUUGUACAACAUGUACUAGAUCCCACAGUCUUCGAUCGCAUUUUCAAGCACUAAAGGCAGAGUGUUGCAUUAAAAGCCGAUAACUUGACGAAACAAUGGUGGUCCCCGAAUGGAUGGCGUCGUAAAUAUCAUGCUCGGAGCUUCGGCUGGACUCGUGUGUUCUCGAACUUGCCAUUCAGGAUAUAAUCGAGGCGUGUUAUAAGGCAUAAGAAUCUCAAAUCUAUAUAUAAUAACGCAACUAAUACUACGUUGAGGCGGUGAAAUUUUUCUAGAAACAUUAGCGCAUUCGAAGAAGAAGUGACAAAUCGGGUUGAGAUUCGAAACGAAUUUGGCUCCGAUCUUAAAGAGAAUAUCCAUUGAAGAAAGACGAGAUACAUUCUGUCAAAUAUAUUCCGGGAUAUUGGGCCUUAUUCCCGUAUCCACGUACACUUACGUUCCCACUACGCUUACAUCUCACUUCACUUUGUUGUACUCAUUCCCGUUUCGUGAAGUGUAAAAAUGAACUUCGUGUAGAAAAUGGAGUUGAUGCCAAAAUGACCCUUUGUUCAUUUCCAAUGUCGUUUCUAAUGGCGCGUUUACAUUCGGGAGAUCUAUAGCUAUAGAUAAAUUUAAUCACACGGAAAUAGAUGUAAACGGGUGAGGAUAUGUAUGAUACUCUUCUUCUAGGUAUAUAUAACCACUAUGUAUAGGAUAAAUUCAGGCAUAUGUAAACGCUGGUGAAUUUCUCACUGGUGAGAAAUCACUAAAGUUGGAUGCAGUUCUACUUCAUGUGAAUAAAUUCACUGAAAAUGUGAAUAUAUUCAGUAUAUAAGUUCGCGCUAGUGUAAACGGUUGAUGCGAUUUCUAUAAAUCUCAUCAUAUUUCUUCACAUGAAUAUAUCACGAGAUUAUACCCACCGUAAAAGAAAUGUCAGUUGUAUUUUGUUUUGUUUAUCCUCGAGUUGUGUCGAUACACCCAGAAAAUGGAUUACUAAAAAACGCUUCCAGAUCUUUUGUAAUGCAAACAGUAGAAUGUAUAAAUUUUCUGUAAAUAUUACCAAUCGUUUGUAAUGCGGGCGCUACACGAUUCGUCCAACGUUUCACUCGAAUGUUGGACUCAAACAUUUGACUCGAUGAAUCGACAAAUGUUGUGACCAAGGCGCCUAGAAGUAUAUCCUAAGGUGAGGCCGUUUCAUCACUAAGUUGGUUAGGGAGCGGUAUAUGAAAACAGUACGGAGGAAAGCAGAAGGGAAUUUUUUUGCUUGAAGCGUGAAAGAGACAGACUGAUCACGAGCGAGCUUGGGCACAAGCGUUUUGUGUUUUGUUCGGGGUGUUCGUAGCAUCGUGUGGCGCCGGUUUAAAAUGAAUCACGCAACACAUCCCUACCAACGAUGGAUUCAUUUUACUUCGCGGUAUUAGUAACUUUUACGAUUGUCAUUACUGGCAACCGCGAGGAAAAUGUAAAUAUAACUUCAUUAGCCUAAUUACCAAGUUGUUAAUUGAGUUGCACGGUACUACUUUCCAAUAUUUAUUUCUUCACAGAAGAAGGUCGUAUUCACUCAGAUUCGGGACAGGUAAGUAAUAUUCGUGAAAAUCAAUUCAAUUUAUGUUCUUUAAUUAAUAUUGAUACAUAUUGGAUAGGAAUGAUUUGUGCUCGUCUGCUGCGGGAGAAUGCGGAGACAUUACUUCAAUAAUAAGGAAUCUGGGUACUUCGAUACACAAAAUCGAGCCCUGUCGAGUCCUAGUCGACUUCAUAAACGUUUUGCAGACGAUUGUGAUCGGUGGUUCAAUCAAUUGGAUUAAGCCUCACUUAAUUCCGCCUGGGUUUUGUCAGCUUCGUGAUAUCUCCCGAAUGUGUUUGACUGAGAAGUAAUUACACGCUGGUCCUGGGAGAUGAUAAUGCCAUGUAUCAGACCCAACCGAUGCAGGAUCAGAUGUCGAUAGUUUAGAUAGUUCAAUAAAUGAAUAAAGAUACAUACAAAAGCUCAAUAAGUUUAUAACAAUAUAUGCAUAAAGGUUGGGUUAACAUAACAUGUUUAGGGUAUAUGUUAAACCAACGUUGAACCGACUGCUUAUACUGGGUUAUACUGGCCGAUUUGACAUUUGUUUACCAUUGUUAUCGCGUAAUAUGUUUACUAAGUAUUGGUAAUAAAUUUACUGAGUAUUGGUAACAUUUACCAAAAAGCUCGUCAUAUAUACCAACUUUUUGGGAGAGUGUAUGAUCGGCGAUUAUGAUGAACUCGAGGAAUCGCUGUUUAUACAAAAAAGAGCGUGAAGUGUAAACCAGAAUAACAUCGGUGGAUGAACUCGGAAUGAAUUCUACCAAAUGUUUACAGUGGCGUGUAUUCCGGAAUAACGUUGUACUCACUACACAUUGUUUUCACGUGUGUAUUCGGGAAUAAGGCCCAUUGUGUUUUCAAAGAGAAUGUUUUGUUUGUCAUCUAAAUUUAUAUCAUUGCCUUCAAAAUAGGUCCAAAUUAGUGCUUCACUUUACAUUUUUUCUAACGAACAAUUCAGCCAUCAAAACACUCUUUACAGCUGUAUUCAGGAAUUGUCUUCAAUUCACGCAACCAAUUCGUUUUUAUGCCCUCAAUUCUGUCGAAACGGGUCCCACGAAGCAGUAAUUUAAGAUUCUGAAAUGGGAAAAAGUCACACGGGGCCAUAUCUGGAGAUUAAUUAUGCGUUAGAUGAACGUAGGAUCAGGAUUUGAUCCUUCAAGCAUGUCUUCAGCCACUUGAUUGCGAUGAAUUUUUUGAAGAAAAUUGAGCUCUUUUGGCACUAGUCGUGCUGCGACUUUUCUUAUGCCAAAACAUCAACCAAAAUAUGACGAUUUCCGAGCACUAUUCCUUUCAUUUUGUCGACGUUUUCAUCAGUAAGAGAGGUGGAUGGUCAUCCUUGGUGUGACAAAUCGUUCAUCUCUUCUCGGUCGUAUUUGAAUGCCUUAUGCCAUUCAAACACUCGAGUUUUCUACAAAGUUGAGUCACCAAAUGUUUUCUGCUACAUUUUCAACGUUUCGAUACAAGAGAUUUUGUUUGCAACGCAAUUUUUUUCCAUGCGAAAGCAAAACAGAAACUGAUGCUCUUGGAUACGAUUGUAUCACGGGAACCGAAUGCGCAAAUCUUCCUUUGCUCGAGCGCAUUUACAAGCGAGUAAAAGAAAUCACACCCUGCAUGUAUUCUCGAUGACGGUUUCUCUAGGCGCCCUGAUUGUGCCACCGUAUUCGGGACACAUUCCGAUCACCACAAAAGCAGUCAUCAUCAACGAGCUAGAUUGUAAUGAUUUCAAUAGCCUGUUUUCAUAGCAAUGCUAUUGAAACGAGUUUUGGACCAAUAAGUGACAAUCGUACACUGCGUUUCAUAACUAUCGAACCACUUCAUUUUUCUGAGUUUCCAGAGGUGAAGACGGUUGAAUUGAAGUAUAUAGUGUAGAAUACAAUAACUAUCUUCAUUUAUAAGAUUGGCCACUUGAACAUUAUUGUUGCGUUCAGGCGCGAAACAGUAAAAAAAAACUAAUAUUCUAGUGUAUCAUAACUGUAGAACCACAUUCACUCCUUUACCAAAUUAACGUCAGUUUCACAUGAGUUACAACAUUUUUCGAAUAACCCAUUCGGUGUGGUUACGAUCGAACUGGCUGAUGUUGUAGUGUGUAUCUUGUUCUACGCAGAGACUACUGCUCGUUUAAGCUCUUCAAAUCACUCAUACCGCUUGUAAGCUGCAUCUACUAGUCGUACGAUCACCCCUCAUGAGCUCUUCACAGGGUAUUGAUUUGGUUAUGUUCAAAUGGCCAGUCUUAUAAAUGAAGAUACUUGUUAUAUCCUACACUAUAUACUUCAAUUCAAUCGACUUCUUACAUAUCUCUGGGCACUCAGAGAAAAUGAGUGGUUCUAUAGUUAUGAAACACAGUGUAUUUGGAUGUCUUGUGAAUUAUAAAACGAUGCCAAUCAAAACAUUUAGUGUUUAACACUCCUAUACUCGCGCAUUGAUCUGUCAGACCGAGAAAUCAAUAAUUCGUUCAUUUCUCAGAAAAUAUCAACACUACAACUUUGCGAUUCUCUCUAGCUUCGUUAUUCGUCGUGCGUCAUCGUUUAGCGUAUCGCAUGUGUUGGUACAAAGGGGACGUGUGCCACUUUUUCAACGCUUUCGGUCUGACACACCGACGCGAGUAUAGGGGUAACUUUUUUGGACAAGUGCAUUUUUUCAUAUUCUAGAAUAUUGUUGAAUGAAAUGUAUAAAUUAAUGUUAGUGGCGUGAAAUAUUUAUUGAAUAUAAUGCAUACGAUCAUUACCGGACUAUUCUUAUUUGAUUUCAGUCCCUUUUGUAACUGGAUUGAACGGAUUCAUAUAUUAACUAUUCGUCGAUAUAUUCGUCGUUAGAUUCAUACGUUCAAAAGCAAAAUAUAAAUGGUCGACUUUCGUAUAGUUAUUCGCUGAAUAUAAUGGUCAUACAUAUACACACUUGUGAAAGAAUUUCACUUGUGGAAGAAUUGUAAACAGUAAACUAUAAACUAAUCGGUGGCUUAUGGUAAUUUUUAACAAUUACAGUCUCGGUUUUUUUAUCGACAAGAAAACAAGAAAAAGAAAAAAAAGUUCCUAGAAAUCCUUUUAUAUCAUCUUUUUAUGCCCUAUCUAAAAAAAGACAUUAAUUUUCAGUUUACCAAGAAUACAGAGACAAAGAAUAUUAGAAAUAUGCAAACAUCAUAUUCCAGAGCCUUUAUCAUCUGGUAAUUAUCUAGAAGGUGGUUAUACAUUCCUCUCUUCGAUAAAAGGCCCGAAAACACGCAACAACUGCAUGAAAUGUAAAAAAUAUGUUUGUUUCGAGCAUGCAGUUAUGCUAUGUUUUGAUUCUUAUUCCAAUGAAACCACAAUCGAUUAAUACGUUUUUAUGUUAUUUUAUAGCUCUAUAUUCUUCCAUGAAUUAUAUUCAGUUGCUCACUUUUAAAUAAUAACAGUGAAAAAAUCAAAUUUCGUUAUUUGUGUUGGAGUAUCAAAAAUUAUUCUGUUUUGAGGAGGUUGAAUUAGAUGACUAUUUAAACAUAAUAAAGACGAAGAAAACAUAUUUUUUGGAGUUUUUUCAUUCAAUUAUACCCUCUUCUUCAAAUAAAUGCCAAUAAAGCCUGAAAAUACACAAUGGAAACAUCACAGAGAUGUUCAAUUUUCGGUCUGUGACACCGUGCGCGAGUAUACGUGUUAUGAUUUUGCACGCGAGUACAGGAGGGUUAAGAAUAUUGUCCUGGUGAAGAAUUGUGUUUCGAAACAUCGAACUGAGAAUAUAGACAAAUAAAAGAGAAACAAAUCAAAUAAUCGUUCACCUCGAAAGAAACAUCCCAACACUUCUUUGGUCCUUUGUU